rnacentral:tRNA from 1 species
AACAGUGUGGCAUAGUGGUUUCAGUGCUGGACUAUGACUCUGGAGACCAGGGUUCAAGUCCUGCUCAGCCA